UGGGGAAUCUUGCACAAUGGGCGAAAGCCUGAUGCAGCAACGCCGCGUGCGGGAAGACAGCCCUAGGGUUGUAAACCGCUUUCAGCAGGGAAGAAACUGACGGUACCUGCAGAAGAAGAUGCGGCCAACUACGUGCCAGCAGCCGCGGUGACACGUAGGCAUCAAGCGUUAUCCGGAUUUAUUGGGCGUAAAGAGCUCGUAGGCGGUUCGGUAAGUCGGGUGUGAAAACUCUGGGCUCAACCCAGAGAGGCCACUCGAUACUGCUGUGACUAGAGUGCGGUAGGGGAGCGGGGAAUUCCUGGUGUAGCGGUGAAAUGCGCAGAUAUCAGGAGGAACACCAGUGGCGAAGGCGCCGCUCUGGGCCGUAACUGACGCUGAGGAGCGAAAGCAUGGGUAGCAAACAGGAUUAGAUACCCUGGUAGUCCACACCGUAAACGAUGAAUGCCAGUCGUCGGGUAGCAUGCUAUUCGGUGACACACCUAACGGAUUAAGCAUUCCGCCUGGGAGUACGGUCGCAAGAUUAAAACUCAAAUGAAUUG
rnacentral:rRNA from 1 species